GCUGUAGCUCAGCGGCAGAGAACAUGCUUUGUAUGCAGAAGGUCCCAGGUUCAGUCCCUGGCAUCUCCA